CAGACUUCUGCAUUUUGGCGAGUCAUUUGCCAGCCAUUCUUGUAGCUGGUUGCCCUUCUUGAAUCAUUUGGAACAGCUAAAUGUUGUCUGGGUCAUAACACUGGGAGAGAACAGUGUCAUCUUCUGAAAGCUAAUUGGCUGUGGAAUAUAUUCUUAAUGGAAGGAUUUUCAAACACAGGAAGUUCUGAAGUUAUACUCAGUGCUUGUUAUUGGUGGUGGAGUCAAAGUCACAUGCAG